GCACUCCGGGCGUGCAGCCUGCCCUUGAAGGGAGAAAGGCUGGAGGCAGGUGGAGGCUCUGUUUGCUUUUCUCCGAUAACAGGGAAGGGAAAUGCUGAUCCUCCAGCUCACAGAUGGUCCUCCUGGAACGACCUCCUGGUUUCCACCCCAUUGGCCACGUCUGGUGAUGGGGAAGGAUUUUGGAGGAGGGAUGAAGGACAUCGGGCUCCCUCCCCAACAGCAGCACCAGCAGCACUGCACGUGCUGAGGGAUGCGCCACGGGAUGCGAUGUCGCUGGACCGGAGUCACAGCCAAGCUGGGAUUCAGCAAUCACACAGGGGGAAGGAUUGAGCAUCACCUAAACGGUUGGUUUUCCACCUUGUAUCUCCCUGAAACUUCAAACGACUGCACACACAGCAAUGAAUUUAGAGUAAUGCCACCAAUGAAACGCUCAAAUUAAUAGCAAUAAAGUGUAAAUGCUCCACGUGGUAGCAGCAGAGCCGUGCUUGGGAGAAUGAUCUGCGAAAGCUUAAAAACCAGCACAAGAUGAGACCACUGGGAAAAAAAAGCAACAAAACAAACAGUCCAUUUCAAUAUCCUUUUCAUAAGGAACCAAUAUGAACCCAAGAACACAUCAGAGAAUAAUCAUUUAGCACAGAUCAAACAGUAGAACUAGCACAUUAAAAAUACAUGCAGCAUUAAUCAGCUACGCAGAGUUAUAUGCCAUCAUUUCCAUAAAUAAUACAGGAUCAAAGCAGCCCAAGCAGCGCUAUCAGUUAAUAUAGUCAGCCAGUCAGUCAAAAUAGAGUAAAGCUGCCUGAAAACUGCGGCGGUAUAAUUUGCCAGGAAUAAAGCAGAUUCAUCUGAGAAGCGGCAUGACCAGUUAAACGGGUGAAGGUUACCAGCAGCCUCCUAUUUAUACAGAGGUGAUGCG